GACGAACGCUGGCGGCGUGCCUAAUACAUGCAAGUCGAACGGUCUUUUCUAUGGAAGCUUGCUUCCGCUGAGAGGGUAGUGGCGAACGGGUGAGUAACACGUGGGUAACCUGCCCAUAAGAGGGGGAUAACAUCCGGAAACGGGUGCUAAUACCGCAUAGUUUUCUUGAUCGCAUGAUCGAGAAAGGAAAGACGGCCUUUGUGCUGUUGCUUAUGGAUGGACCCGCGGCGUAUUAGUUAGUUGGUGAGGUAACGGCUCACCAAGACGAUGAUACGUAGCCGACCUGAGAGGGUGAUCGGCCACAUUGGGACUGAGACACGGCCCAAACUCCUACGGGAGGCAGCAGUAGGGAAUCUUCCGCAAUGGACGAAAGUCUGACGGAGCAACGCCGCGUGAGUGAAGAAGGUUUUCGGAUCGUAAAACUCUGUUGUCAGAGAAGAACAAGUCGGAGAGUAACUGCUCCGGCCUUGACGGUAUCUGACCAGAAAGCCACGGCUAACUACGUGCCAGCAGCCGCGGUAACAC
rnacentral:rRNA from 1 species